rnacentral:rRNA from 1 species
AUUGAACGCUGGCGGCAGGCUUAACACAUGCAAGUCGAGCGGGGUGAUGGUGCUUGCACUAUCACUUAGCGGCGGACGGGUGAGUAAUGCUUAGGAAUCUGCCUAUUAGUGGGGGACAACAUCUCGAAAGGGAUGCUAAUACCGCAUACGUCCUACGGGAGAAAGCAGGGGAUCACUUGUGACCUUGCGCUAAUAGAUGGGCCUAAGUCGGAUUAGCUAGUUGGUGGGGUAAAGGCCUACCAAGGCGACGAUCUGUAGCGGGUCUGAGAGGAUGAUCCGCCACACUGGGACUGAGACACGGCCCAGACUCCUACGGGAGGCAGCAGUGGGGAAAAUUGGACAGUGGGGGGAACCCUGAUCCAGCCAUGCCGCGUGUGUGAAGAAGGCCUUAUGGUUGUAAAGCACUUUAAGCGAGGAGGAGGCUCUUUUGGUUAAUACCCAAGAUGAGUGGACGUUACUCGCAGAAUAAGCACCGGCUAACUCUGUGCCAGCCGCCGCGGUAA